GAUUGACCUCGGAUUAGGUAGGGAUACCCGCUGAACUUAAGCAUAUC
rnacentral:rRNA from 1 species